rnacentral:rRNA from 1 species
UGGGGAAUAUUGCACAAUGGGCGCAAGCCUGAUGCAGCGACGCCGCGUGAGGGAUGACGGCCUUCGGGUUGUAAACCUCUUUCAAUAGGGACGAAGCGCAAGUGACGGUACCUAUAGAAGAAGGACCGGCCAACUACGUGCCAGCAGCCGCGGUAAUACGUAGGGUCCGAGCGUUGUCCGGAAUUACUGGGCGUAAAGAGCUCGUAGGUGGUUUGUCGCGUUGUUCGUGAAAACUCACAGCUUAACUGUGGGCGUGCGGGCGAUACGGGCAGACUAGAGUACUGCAGGGGAGACUGGAAUUCCUGGUGUAGCGGUGGAAUGCGCAGAUAUCAGGAGGAACACCGGUGGCGAAGGCGGGUCUCUGGGCAGUAACUGACGCUGAGGAGCGAAAAGCGUGGGGAGCGAACAGGAUUAGAUACCCUGGUAGUCCACGCCGUAAACGGUGGGUACUAGGUGUGGGGUUUCCUUCCUUGGGAUCCGUGCCGUAGCUAACGCAUUAAGUACCCCGCCUGGGGAGUACGGCCGCAAGGCUAAAACUUAAAGGAAUUGACGGGGUCAUAGCUGUUUCCU